rnacentral:rRNA from 1 species
GUGAUUAACGCGAAGAACCUUACCUACCCUUGACAUGUCUGGAAUCCUUGAGAGAUCAGGGAGUGCCUUCGGGAGCCAGAACACAGGUGCUGCAUGGCUGUCGUCAGCUCGUGUCGUGAGAUGUUGGGUUAAGUCCCGCAACGAGCGCAACCCUUGUCGCUAAUUGCCAUCAUUUAGUUGGGCACUUUAGCGAGACUGCCGGUGACAAACCGGAGGAAGGUGGGGAUGACGUCAAGUCCUCAUGGCCCUUAUGGGUAGGGCUUCACACGUCAUACAAUGGUCGGUACAGAGGGUUGCCAAGCCGCGAGGUGGAGCUAAUCUCAAAAAGCCGAUCGUAGUCCGGAUCGUAGUCUGCAACUCGACUACGUGAAGUCGGAAUCGCUAGUAAUCGUGGAUCAGCAUGCCACGGUGAAUACGUUCCCGGGUCUUGUACACACCGCCCGU